rfam:Gossypium hirsutum cultivar TM-1 chromosome 5, whole genome shotgun sequence
CACAUCAGUGUGCUUUGAUGACAUGGCAACAAAUCGCCCCUUGUGGACGCGAUUUGUUGCCACAUUAGCAAAGCGCGCUGAUGUGG